UGUUCUUGAUGAAAGUAACUUCCGUCAUAAACGAAAGUAUGGACGAGGGAGAGCAUCAACAACAUGGAGGCGAAAAAAAUGGGUCUUUGGCAUGCUAGGUGUGAGGGAUAAAUGCAGACACCCAAUCUUGCGGCUUGUGAAAAGAAGAUCAAGACCUCACCUAAUCCCCAUAGUUGUAAAACAUGUGCGUCCAGGCACUACCAUUAUUUCAGAUGAGUGGAGAGCCUACCGGGGGGCUUUGGCCAAUAUGGGCUACAAACAUUUUACAGUGAACCAUUCCCAGUGGUUUGUAGACCCACACAGUGGAGCUCAUUCACAACACCUUGAAAGAGCUUGGUUGACAUACAAAACAAGUGUAUGGAGACUAAGGGGGAACAGGACAGAGAAAAUGCUAAAAGAGCACCUCUCUCUCAUAGAGUGGACUCAUUGGCUUGGUGAAAAAAAUAAACGGGGGCCACUUGGGCGCCUAAUAAAAGAUAUUCACCAUCAAUUUCCUGUUUAGAGGACAACACACUGAACUUUUGAUUGUGUUUUAUGUAAUAUUUAAGUAAAAUACAAGUUAACUUGUCCUCUUGAUUUAAGGUGCACUGAUAUUUAAAAGCUUUGUUUAAUAAAAUGUGUAUUUUACCUUUUUAA